rnacentral:rRNA from 1 species
UACGUAGGGGGCGAGCGUUGUCCGGAUUUAUUGGGCGUAAAACGCUUGUAGGCGGCCACCGCGCGUCGGACGUGAAAUCUCCCGGCUCAACUGGGGAGGGUCGUGCGAUACGGUCGAGCUUGAGGCCAGUAGGGGGAUGCGGAAUUCCGGGUGUAGUGGUGGAAUGCGUAGAGAUCCGGAGGAACACCAGCGGCGAAGGCGGCAUCCUGGACUGGUACUGACGCUCAUGAGCGAAAGCGUGGGGAGCGAUCCGG